UAGGGAAUCUUCGGCAAUGGACGAAAGUCUGACCGAGCAACGCCGCGUGAGUGAAGAAGGUUUUCGGAUCGUAAAACUCUGUUGUUAGAGAAGAACAAGGACGUUAGUAACUGAACGUCCCCUGACGGUAUCUAACCAGAAAGCCACGGCUAACUACGUGCCAGCAGCCGCGGUAAUACGUAGGUGGCAAGCGUUGUCCGGAUUUAUUGGGCGUAAAGCGAGCGCAGGCGGUUUCUUAAGUCUGAUGUGAAAGCCCCCGGCUCAACCGGGGAGGGUCAUUGGAAACUGGGAGACUUGAGUGCAGAAGUGGGGGGUGGAAUUCCAGGUGUAGCGGUGAAAGGCGUAGAUAUAUGGAGGAACACCAGUGGCGAAGGCGGCUCUCUGGUCUGUAACUGACGCUGAGGCUCGAAAGCGUGGGGAGCAAACAGG
rnacentral:rRNA from 1 species